rnacentral:rRNA from 1 species
AUUGAACGCUGGCGGCAUGCCUUACACAUGCAAGUCGAACGGCAGCAUGAUCUAGCUUGCUAGAUUGAUGGCGAGUGGCGAACGGGUGAGUAAUACAUCGGAACGUGCCCUGUAGUGGGGGAUAACUAGUCGAAAGAUUAGCUAAUACCGCAUACGACCUGAGGGUGAAAGUGGGGGACCGCAAGGCCUCAUGCUAUAGGAGCGGCCGAUGUCUGAUUAGCUAGUUGGUGAGGAAAAGGCUCACCAAGGCGACGAUCAGUAGCUGGUCUGAGAGGACGAUCAGCCACACUGGGACUGAGACACGGCCCAGACUCCUACGGGAGGCAGCAGUGGGGAAUUUUGGACAAUGGGCGAAAGCCUGAUCCAGCAAUGCCGCGUGUGUGAAGAAGGCCUUCGGGUUGUAAAGCACUUUUGUCCGGAAAGAAAUGGCUCUGGUUAAUACCUGGGGUCGAUGACGGUACCGGAAGAAUAAGGACCGGCUAACUACGUG